UUACGGCCACAUCACGUUGGAACACCGGUUCCCGUACGAUCACUGAAGUUAAACAACGUCGAGCCUGGUCAGUAACUAGAUGGGUAACCACUUGGGAAUACCGGGUGCUGUAAG